rnacentral:rRNA from 1 species
GAUGAACGCUGGCGGCGUGCCUAAUACAUGCAAGUCGAGCGAACAGACGAGGAGCUUGCUCCUCUGACGUUAGCGGCGGACGGGUGAGUAACACGUGGAUAACCUACCUAUAAGACUGGGAUAACUUCGGGAAACCGGAGCUAAUACCGGAUAAUAUAUUGAACCGCAUGGUUCAAUAGUGAAAGACGGUUUUGCUGUCACUUAUAGAUGGAUCCGCGCCGCAUUAGCUAGUUGGUAAGGUAACGGCUUACCAAGGCAACGAUGCGUAGCCGACCUGAGAGGGGACUCGGCCCCACUGGAACUGAGACGCGGUCCAAACUCCUACGGGGGGCAGCAGUAGGGAAUCUUCCGCAAUGGGCGAAAGCCGGACGGAGCAACGCCGCGGGAGGGAUGAAGGUCUUCGGAUCGUAAAACUCUUUUAUUAGGGAAAAAAAAAUGUGUAAGUAACUAUGCACGUCUUGACGGUACCUAAUCAGAAAGCCCCGGCUAACUACGU